UAUAUGAUAUACAUGUAUGUAUAUAAAUGGGAUUAUUGAGUUGAAUUGUUCAACUCAUUAGGACCAAUUAAGUCCAAUAAUUUCAGGUGUUACAUCGGUAUUUCUUUCGAGUGUUGGCGCCUUAGCACUGCCGAUCUCGAAAACUCGUCGACAAAAUCGGUGUGGAUACCGGUAGAGGCGUCACAGCGGGACGCUUGGUCGACAAUUUUAAAUAUUUCAGGUACGCUUUUAUUUACUCUUAUUCUUCUAGUAGGUCUUGGAAUUAAUUUCACGAGUAGAAAAUUUUGAAUUUCUGUUCCUUUUUCGCUUCCGUCGGCCCUGUGAAACUAGCACGUCAUGCUGAUGAGGAGUGAGUCGUAGGGAGCGCUAAAUAUAUAUAUAGUAUUAGUAGAGAUGGAGAUUAGUUUGGCGAGAAGAGAAGACAUUCUGGGCAUAUUUGGUUGUUAUUUUGUUGUUUUUGGGGCCAUUGAAGAAAAGAUAUUCUAUUAUCAGUCAUUUUGUUGUUUUGGGUUGAAGAAAAGACAUUUUAUUAUCAGUCAUUUUGUUGUUUUGGAGCCAUUGAAGAAAAGACAUUCUAUUAUCAGUCCACGAAUUUCUCUAUCCUUCUUCGUCUUCUUCUUCUUCGAUCGAUUGGAUGAUUGUUUUGUCUAGUAAGAGUGAGGUUCCAGAACCUUCCCUUCCCUGACUUUCCGACGUUGACUUACAAUGUCCCUCCUAUGUAAGAAACUCAUUGGGCACGAAAUCUUUUAUGAUCAUAUCCUUUGUGCUCUCCAGAAUCGCAUGGGUUCUGUGAUGCUAACUAUUCAAAAAGCAAAUGUGUCGGCUAUAGAUUUCUACACAGAUAGAUUGAGCUAUUGGUUGAAAAGAGCUAUGAAAUUCUCUGCAAAGCAUUUGAUCCUGAAGCAAAAGCUAUACUAGAGGUACAAUCAAAUCUCAAAAUAUUCUUAUCACAAACAUAAGUUGUUUCGCUAUGUCAACGCGGAAGAGCUAACUCGGACAUUAGAUAUGGUGUCUCAUCUUUAUCGUGCAAAAAACAUUUGCGACUUAUUUUUCUUUUUGUAGAUUGUGGUUAAUCUAAGAAUGAUAUGACCAUUAAAUUAAAUUGUCUUAUUGAAAGUUCCCCUUUGGAGGGCUUUACCUUUUUUCCCUCUUCUCCACUAAGUUCGUCUAGUAGUGAAUAACAUAAUUGAUGGUGGUGAUAACUCCCAUGGUUAUUGAGGUGAAACGGAUGAUUCUUUGAUCCGCUCCAAAUGCUAUAUUUCUGAGGUUUGUAUGCCGCUAUUUUUUAAGCGUUCGUAUGUCGUCAAGAUUGCUAGUUUGUUGCUUGUUUUACAUUAUUAGCUGUUAGCAUUAUGGAGGGAGCUGAUAUCUUAAAGAAGGAACCUUUGGGGAAGUGUGGAAGAUUGAUGCAAUACUACAGUUGUGAUUGCAUAUUAUCAAUCCACGUCGCGCAAGAGAUAUUACUGGGAUCAUGGUGAAACCAUAGUGUAAGUUCAGCCCCCUAUCUUGUAUUGAGAAACCAAGGUCAUAAGUCGAUGCCAUGGCAAUUAACUAUAAAAGACCUGGAAAUGUCAAGCUGGUGUAUGCUCGGACGGCCGAAUUCACCUAACAGAUGCACUCACCUACAAUGAACAACCGUGUCUGCCUGUUUGGUUUCUCCCAGUAAUCGGGAAUGGUCUUAAAAACGUCGAUAUGUUUAGGACCCAAGUCCAGCAAUAUGUCCAUCUCAGCAGCACGGCAGACAGGAUGCUGAUUCUUGCAGCAUUUUACAUUGUCUAUGCGACUACAACUGUUAUCCGCCACCGAGCUCGACUAAUCCUUUCCAAAGUUAACAUCAGCAGAAGCCUUCAUUGGCAUAAUCUGCAUAUAACCACUGGCCAAUCUGGGGUCCCUUAUCCGAUCAUAUCAACACCGAUGAUCUCAACAUACCGGUCAGUUAUGCUGAUACAAGGUCCAAUUGGGAAUUGGACAUUUGCUACAUCAAAUGACAUCUUUUGACUUCCGGAUGCAUCCUGCCCCGUAACCAUAACCGCUUCUUCGGUUUCGAUCCGGAUUGAUGAGCUCGGCAUUAGAUAUGAAGCUAUUGGCCUAGUAAAGGGUAUGAAAUGGGGAAGUCACGCUGGACAUAGAAAUCCAUUCAAUGAGGAUCGAAUUCAGCCACGAGAAUCAAACCCGAGAAUUGAAUGCAAAACCGAUGCAAACCGGAAGUUCUGCAAAAGCCCAAAAGAUACAGAAACUACUGGAAAAGCCAGAAAAUACCCUUUUUCUCCAUUUCAGUGAACAAGACAAGCAGCACGAGUGGGACCAAGCCCACGGGUCUUUGCUGGGACAUAGUCAAAGAAGCUCGGUUGCGGGGAACAGCUCAUCCGGUGGGGUCAUUUAUGGUUUCGGUAAUGGAGCUCAAGAGGCCGAGCUCAGACGGCGGCGGUGGCAACCGAGGGAAGAAGCUCAAGCGCAGGGAGGUAGGUGAGCACGAGACAAUUUGAAUUCUCAACGGAGGCUUGGGCAUUUAGAUAGAUACCGAUGAAGUGUGAAUCCUAGCAGGCACUGGAGAAGAAGAAGGCAGUCGAUAAGCUGAUCGGAGCGGCUUAUUCCGACGGCGACCCUCUCGUUUCCUUCCCCUACUUCCGCCAUUACAGUAGAGAUGGUCUAUCUGUGUGAUUCGAAUCGGGGUGUGGAAGUAGUCUCUCUCGUCUUCGGUUUAAGCAAUAUAUACAAAACCUUCUCAAGGGAGCAGAAGCUGCAGUUGCUUGUCUUUUGGAAAUUUAACCAGCGGCUGGUUUUUUUCAUUCUGAAUGUUGUCUUAAAACUGACUCUUCCGGUGGUCUUUGUCAUUUGGAGUGUAUGCAUUUAGAUGAGCAUGAGUGGGCCAUAUGGAUUGGAAUGGCCCAAAGAGGAGAAGGUGAAGCGCCGGGAAAUGGUUGCUCCUGAAGCCCUUUAUGUAUUUGUGCUUGAGACCACCGACGCAAGUGCGAAAGGGAUGCCACUGGCAUUGGAUGAUAAAGCUGCUGCGAAGAAAAUUGCGGAACAGAUGGGUUCUAUGAUUGGUUUCGUGCACUACCGUUUUAUUGUGGAGGAGGAACUACCCGUCCUUUAUGUCUACGAGCUACAGCUUGAACCUCGUGCUCAAGGAAAGGGACGGGGGAUAUUCUUAAUGCAACCAGUUGAGCUAAUUGCCCGCGAGAAGCCGAACCUUCUCUUCUUUGGCUUUUAAAACAUUUCAUUAAGAUCCAAGCUUGUAAAGCAGUCAGUACAUGGACAAGUUUGUGGAAAUACAUUUGGCUCCUAAUCAUUUUCAGUACUCAUAUUUGUGAGCAUCUUGCACUGGUUUUCAGUUCCUUGCCAAAGAUGAACUUGCUUCGAUUUUCUGCCGUUGACUUCCAAUGUCACUCCUGUGUAAGAAACUCAUUGGGCAUGAAAUCUUUUAUGAUCAUAUACUUUGUGCU